ACACAGCAAAAUCACCAGUGUUAAAUUUUCAGGGAUGGUGUUAAAUACACAGUGUUGAUGCUGUUUUAACACUAUCUGGUAAUAAAAUAACACUGCCAUUGCUAGGCCAGUGUUAUAUUCACGACAGUGUCAGUGUAAAACAAGGGUGUUAUCAGAUUUCACUCUGAGCGGUGUAAAUCAAGCUACGCCUCCACUAAACAUAUCCUGUCAGGGAUUUUACCGCCAUUUUCUUUCACAGGAGGACUGAAGAGAUCAGAUGCUAGUUUGGUGAAAGUACACACUGAGUGCUUCAAAUCAUUCAGAAGAGAUGCUGUUUUUAGGGCAGUUUAUUAAAGAAGACCUGACAUGGAUGACUUCCAAUGAGAAACGACUGCUAAUACUUAUAUAAAUUCAUUACAGAAGGACCCUAACAGACUAUAUUUGAAUACGGCAUACCCAUGAAUUCUGGAACUGUUAUUCCUUAACCCAGUUUGGAGGAUAAGAGCUUACCAACUAGUUAUAAAUAUGCUGAGGUGAUGUAUUGCAAAAUAGCCAACAUGCAACAAUAUGGAUGACCCUCUGUCUGGUCAACAGGAGUUUAAAUAUGGACGGGACAGUGAUGUGGCAGCUCUUCCCUGGCUCAUUCACCUCUUGCCUUUCAUUUGUGAAAGGAAGAAAGAAGAAAGACUGGAGAGGGUCAAUGUGCAACUGAAGCUACUGAUUGUGCUAUGUGAUGAGCAUCAAUCCAUGCUUUGAGGGGAAUGAAUCAGCACAGCCCUGCCUGCACUGCGUUGGGAACAGAAGUUGCAUCCAGAAUUUUUGCAUCAUUCUGGACCAAAAAGCCAUUCCCUCCAUGAUGAAGACCACUGAUGCAGCCUUCCACUACAUCAUGAGUAAAACAACUACAGAACUAAAUACCAGGUUGGAACGUAUUUAAGAAAAAUGAAACGUCUUUUGAAUUGAAAUGUCUGUUUUGUUAUGGAAAAAUCUUUAGUAUUGUGAAGGAUAAGCAUUUCUGCCUGCCAGUAAGGUAAUUGCAGUCUAUUUUAAUGUACAAGUUUUGAGUAGGGUGGCUAAUUUUUUUUAAACUCUCAUUUGAUAUAUUAAAGAAAGACCUUAUAAUAAGUGGUUUUCAUGUCACUGCGCUGUGGUAUAAGAUAACUUUCAUUAUUCCAUACUGUAUUCUGUAUUCUAAUUGUAGCUGAGGUAUUUAAAUAAGCAGUAUUAAAUGCAAAGUGUUGUGUGUAUCAAUGUAAAUAUUAAAUGUGAUGUACUUUAAUAAAAAGAGGUUUUGCAA